rnacentral:rRNA from 1 species
GAUCCUGGCUCAGGAUGAACGCUAGCUACAGGCUUAACACAUGCAAGUCGAGGGGCAGCAUGAUCAAAGCUUGCUUGGUGAUGGCGACCGGCGCACGGGUGAGUAACGCGUAUCCAACCUUCCCCCUAGUAGGGCAUAGCCCGGCGAAAGUCGGAUUAAUACCCUAUGUUUUCCAAUGAGGACAUCUGAGCUGGAACAAAGAUUCAUCGCUAGGGGAUGGGGAUGCGUCCGAUUAGCUUGCCGGCGGGGUAACGGCCCACCGGGGCGACGAUCGGUAGGGGUUCUGAGAGGAAGGUCCCCCACACUGGUACUGAGACACGGACCAGACUCCUACGGGAGGCAGCAGUGAGGAAUACUGGUCAAUGGGCGAGAGCCUGAACCAGCCAAGUAGCGUGCAGGACGACGGCCCUAUGGGUUGUAAACUGCUUUUAUGCGGGGAUAAAGUUCACCACGUGUGGUGUUUUGUAGGUACCGCAUGAAUGAGGACCGGCUAAUUCCGUGCCAGCAGCGGC